AGGGGCCAGGGGGUCUGGUUAUAUAGUCCCCUCAAGUGAACCUGGGCCGUCAGAUCAAACCGACAUUGAUUGAACGGUUAUUCUUGAUGUAUUAGGUCGGUGGAGCAUGAUCCGCGAAGUUGAAGCUGAUUGGUUACUGUAGCUGGGCGGGCACCCAAGGGACUUGGGCGGGCGCCUUGCCCCCAGGCCCGAUCGGCCUCCCGUUCGUUCCCGUGGCUUCUGGAGUCUUCUAGAUGGUAGAAAAUUGUGCGGCACGUCAAUAUCUCCAUGUAAACCCGACGUGUGGGCCUUUCUUUCAUAUUUCCUGAUAACCCCCUGCAGAAAUAGACAAAC
rnacentral:lncRNA from 1 species